CCUGAGAAACCUAAAAGUUCGAAAGAGGAGAUUCAACGUCAACAUGUACAGUAUUUACGUGAGUAGUGAUGUGAUUUGUUUGAAGAAGUUUCUGACUUCUUCGACGCCCACACAUUUUCAUGUCUUUUUAUUGCUGUACUACUGUCGGCGUGCACUUCUCCUCUAGUAGGACGUCCCGACCUGUUAAGCCUCAGCCUACGGCCCAGAUGGUAGCCUUCGAUACAUUCAUUUGUAUUGAAGACCUCUGGUGUUUCCCGGUCUGAGUGCCUGACAGUAUUGAAGCAAACGACGGUAUUGUGCCGCAUCUUGAAUGCGUCUAGCCUGUUGCAAGCUCGAUUAAACUGUCAACACGUAGACUUUGCUUCUAUGUUUGCGGUUUUUUCGGCUGUUAGCCGACAGUGUUCUUAGACUGGCCUAUCAUUACCUGUCAGGGACGCUAUUGCUUUGGGUACUUUCAGG
rnacentral:rRNA from 1 species